CUCUGGGGUGCUAUGUGUGUGUCUGGGGGUGCUGUGUGUGUAUCUGGAGGUGCUGUGUGUAUCUAAAGUGCUGUGUGUGUAUCUAGGGUGCUGUGUGUGUGUGUGUGUCUGGGGGUGCUGUGUGUGAGUGUGUCUGGGGGUGCUGUGUGUGAGUGUGUCUGGGGGUGCUGUAUGUGUCUGGGGGUGCUGUAUGUGUCUGGGGGUGCUGUGUGUGUUUGGGUGCGCUGUGUGUGUUUGGGUGCGCUGUGUGUGUUUGGGUGCGCUGUGUGUGUCUGGGGUGCUGUGUGUGUGUCUGGGGGUGCUGUGUGUGAGUUGGCUGUGUGUGUCUGGGGGUGCAGUGUGUGUGUCUGGGGUGCUGUGUGUUUCUG